GGCUUUGACACUCAGUUGGGACCGUGUGGCACUUGACUUGAACACUAUCAAGACAAGUCAGCCGAUCUAUCUACAAGUUAAUCUGCACAACGAAGCAUGUUGGUUAGCCAAGAGACUAGAAUGCUAUUAAAGCGAGCAAGAUAAAUACAUAUCGAGCAGAUAUCCACAUCCAAAAAGCAUAAAGGCAUAAGCAAUCAAAGUAUCACAUGUAGGCACAGAUAUUUUGAUAAAAGGGCUACUCAUUUCAUUCCAGGGGCAAAAC
rnacentral:lncRNA from 1 species